rnacentral:misc_RNA from 1 species
AGGGCCGUUCUGCAGUGGCCAGGUUUGUAUAGACUCUUUAUCUCUCUUUUAUUUCAGUGGAGUUGUUUGGUCAUCUAAUUUUGUUUGUCAAUUAGAUGGCAGGAUUAUUUGGUUUGAUUAGAAUCAUAUAAACCUUUAGGUAUGUUCUGAGAUCUAAUUUUCCUUUUUGGAUAUGAUACUGAAAGAUUUUGAUUGCUUCUGUCAAUUGCCCAUAUAACUGCGUGCCUGAAUAAAUGAUAUUUAACUAAAGAACUUUGGAUUCAGUUUUAACAGUAGAGUAUGGCAAAUAGCAAUCCCACUAAAAGAUAAAAACUUGGCAUUUGUAGCCACUUUUU